UACGUAGGGUGCGAGCGUUGUCCGGAAUUAUUGGGCGUAAAGGGCUCGUAGGCGGUUUGUCGCGUCGGGAGUGAAAACUCAGGGCUUAACCCUGAGCCUGCUUCCGAUACGGGCAGACUAGAGGUAUGCAGGGGGAGAACGGAAUUCCUGGUGUAGGCGGUGAAAUGCGCAGAUAUCAGGAGGAACACCGGUGGCGAAGGCGGUUCUCUGGGCAUUACCUGACGCUGAGGAGCGAAAGUGUGGGGAGCGAACAGG
rnacentral:rRNA from 1 species